rnacentral:rRNA from 1 species
AGUGAACGCUGGCGGUAGGCCUAACACAUGCAAGUCGAACGGCAGCACAGGAGAGCUUGCUCUCUGGGUGGCGAGUGGCGGACGGGUGAGGAAUACAUCGGAAUCUACUUUUUCGUGGGGGAUAACGUAGGGAAACUUACGCUAAUACCGCAUACGACCUACGGGUGAAAGCAGGGGAUCUUCGGACCUUGCGCGAUUGAAUGAGCCGAUGUCGGAUUAGCUAGUUGGCGGGGUAAAGGCCCACCAAGGCGACGAUCCGUAGCUGGUCUGAGAGGAUAAUCAGCCACACUGGAACUGAGACACGGUCCAGACUCCUACGGGAGGCAGCAGUGGGGAAUAUUGGACAAGGGGCGCAAGCCUGAUCCAGCCAUACCGCGUGGGUGAAGAAGGCCUUCGGGUUGUAAAGCCCUUUUGUUGGGAAAGAAAUCCAGCUGGUUGAUACCCGGUUGGGAUGACGGUACCCAAAGAAUAAGCACCGGCUAACUUCGUGCCAGCCGCCGCAGUAA